ACGGAAGGCAGCAGUGAGGAAUAUUGGUCAAUGGGCGGAAGCCUGAACCAGCCAAGUCGCGUGAGGGAAGACGGCCCUACGGGUUGUAAACCUCUUCUGCGCGGGGGUAAAGUCGGGGACGGGUCCCCGAUUGCAAGUACCGCGCGAAAAAGGAUCGGCUAACUCCGUGCCAGCAGCCGCGGUAAUACGGAGGAUCCGAGUGUUAUCCGGAUUUAUUGGGUUUAAAGGGUGCGCAGGCGGGAUGUCAAGUCAGUGGUGAAAUGGUGCGGCUCAACCGUAGCAUUGCCGUUGAAACUGGCGUCCUUGAGUGCGAAUGAGGUACGCGGAACGUGUCAUGUAGCGGUGAAAUGCAUAGAUAUGUCACAGAACCCCGAUUGCGAAGGCAGCUUACCAGCAUACAACUGACGCUGAGGCACGAAAGCGUGGGUAUCAAACAGGAUUAGAUACCCUGGUA
rnacentral:rRNA from 1 species